rnacentral:tRNA from 1 species
UAGAAUGUAGUGUAAUGGAAACAUGUAGAAUUUUGAAUUCUUUGAUGUAGGUUCAAUUCCUAUCUUUCUAG